rnacentral:rRNA from 1 species
GAUGAACGCUAGCGACAGGCUUAACACAUGCAAGUCGAGGGGCAGCGAGGGAGUGGCAACACUUCUGUCGGCGACCGGCGCACGGGUGAGUAACGCGUAUGCAACCUGCCCUUCACAGGGGGAUAACCGGGAGAAAUUCCGACUAAUACCGCAUACGUCCUCCGGGGGCAUCCCCGGGGGAUGAAAGAUUUAUCGGUGAAGGAUGGGCAUGCGUGAUAUUAGGUAGUUGGCGGGGCAACGGCCCACCAAGCCUACGAUAUCUAGGGGUUCUGAGAGGAAGGUCCCCCACAUUGGUACUGAGACACGGACCAAACUCCUACGGGAGGCAGCAGUGAGGAAUAUUGGUCAAUGGACGAGAGUCUGAACCAGCCAAGUCGCGUGAAGGAAGACGGAUCUAUGGUUUGUAAACUUCUUUAGUGCGGGAACAAAGCGGCGUCGUGACGCCGGAUGAGUGUACCGCAAGAAUAAGCAUCGGCUAACUCCGUGCCAGCCGCCGCAGUAAUAC